UAGCAGGAAUUCCCAGUGUAGCGGUGAAAUGCGUAGAUAUUGGGAAGAACAUCGGUGGCGAAGGCGUGCUACUGGACCGUAACUGACACUCAGGGACGAAAGCUAGGGGAGCGAAAGGGAUUAGAUACCCCUGUAGUCCUAGCUGUAAACGAUGGAAACUAGGUGUGGCUUGUAUCGACCCGAGCCGUGCCGUAGCUAACGCGUUAAGUUUCCCGCCUGGGGAGUACGCACGCAAGUGUGAAACUCAAAGGAAUUGACGGGGGCCCGCACAAGCGGUGGAGUAUGUGGUUUAAUUCGAUGCAACGCGAAGAACCUUACCAGGGCUUGACAUGUCGCGAAUCUCGGUGAAAGCUGAGAGUGCCUUCGGGAGCGCGAACACAGGUGGUGCAUGGCUGUCGUCAGCUCGUGUCGUGAGAUGUUGGGUUAAGUCCCGCAACGAGCGCAACCCUUAUUUUUAGUUGCCAGCAUUAAGAUGGGCACUCUAGAAAGACUGCCGGUGACAAACCGGAGGAAGGUGAGGACGACGUCAAGUCAGCAUGCCCCUUACGCCCUGGGCUACACACGUACUACAAUGGUUGGGACAAAGGGCAGCGACUCCGCAAGGAAUAGCGAAUCUCAUCAAACCCAGCCUCAGUUCAGAUUGCAGGCUGCAACUCGCCUGCAUGAAGGAGGAAUCGCUAGUAAUCGCAGGUCAGCAUACUGCGGUGAAUUCGUUCCCGGGCCUUGUACACACCGCCCGUCACACCAUGGAAGCUGGUCACGCCCGAAGUAGUUACCCUAGCCUUUCGAGGAGGGGGAUUCCUAAGGCAGGGCUAGUGACUGGGGUGAAGUCGUAACAAGGUAACC
rnacentral:rRNA from 1 species